rnacentral:rRNA from 1 species
AUUGAACGCUGGCGGCAGGCUUAACACAUGCAAGUCGAGCGGGGUGAUGGUGCUUGCACUAUCACUUAGCGGCGGACGGGUGAGUAAUGCUUAGGAAUCUGCCUAUUAGUGGGGACAACAUCUCGAAAGGGAUGCUAAUACCGCAUACGUCCUACGGGAGAAAGCAGGGGAUCACUUGUGACCUUGCGCUAAUGGAUGAGCCUAAGUCGGAUUAGCUAGUUGGUGGGGUAAAGGCCUACCAAGGCGACGAUCUGUAGCGGGUCUGAGAGGAUGAUCCGCCACACUGGGACUGAGACACGGCCCAGACUCCUACGGGAGGCGGCAGUGGGGAAUAUUGGACAAUGGGGGGAACCCUGAUCCAGCCAUGCCGCGUGUGUGAAGAAGGCCUUAUGGUUGUAAAGCACUUUAAGCGAGGAGGAGGCUCUUUUGGUUAAUACCCAAGAUGAGUGGACGUUACUCGCAGAAUAAGCACCGGCUAACUCUGUGCCAGCCGCCGCGGUAA